rnacentral:misc_RNA from 1 species
GAUGAAGAACGCAGCGAAAUGCGAUAAGUAAUGUGAAUUGCAGAAUUCAGUGAAUCAUCGAAUCUUUGAACGCACAUUGCGCCCCUUGGUAUUCCGAGGGGCAUGCCUGUUCGAGCGUCAUUAUAACCCCUCAAGCUCAGCUUGGUGUUGGGGCCUGCCGCACGGGCAGCCCUUAAAAUCAGUGGCGGUGCCAUCUGGCUCUAAGCGUAGUAAUUCUUCUCGCUAUAGAGUCCCGGUGGAUGCUUGCCAUUAACCCCCAAUUUUCUAUGGUUGACCUCGGAUCAGGUAGGGAUACCCGCUGAACUUAAGUAUAUCAAUAAGCGGAGGA